rnacentral:lncRNA from 1 species
UGCUGAUCAGCUGACUUUGAGAUGGAGCGAUUAUCCUGGAUUAUCCAGGUAGGCCCAAUAUAAUCAUAAGGAUCCUUAUAAAUAAACAAAGGAGGCAGGGAAAUUUGUGUCAGAGUGAUUUGAUAUGAGAAACGCUCAACCUAUGCCUUUGAAGAUAGAGAAAGUGGGUCAGUCAUGAGUCAUGUGGUGACCUCUAGAAGCUAGACAAAGCCAGGAAACGGAUUCUCUUCUGCAGCCUCCACAAGGGAAUGAAGGCUGGCAUCUAAACUCAAUCAGCAAAAUAAAUUCAAUAAGGAAGAUUUGAAGAUCAAAGACCUUCCUCUCUCUGGCUUCACAUUUCUCAUCACUAGUUGAAAGCCUGAAAGAACAAAAAAGCUGACCCUUCCCUGAGUAAGAGAGAAUUCUUCCUGCGUGAUGAUCUUCAAUCUGGGACAUUGACUUUUUUUCUGCCUUUGGCCUGAAACAUUGGCUCUCCCUGGGUCUCGAGCCUGCGGGCCUUUGGACUGGAACUAAAUUAUCAGCUCUCCUGGGCCUCCAGGUUGUCUAUUCACCCUGCAGAUCUUUCAACUUGCCAGACCCCAUAAUUAUGUGAACCAAUUCAUUAUAAAAAUAAAUCUCGAUUGCUGGCAAGAUGGCCGAACAGGAACAGCUCCGGCCUGUAGCUCCCAGCGAGAUCGACAUAGAAGGCCUAGGUCAUCAAGAUGCACAGCACAGGACAGAAGCCCCUCUAGUCCUGCACCUGGUGACAUGGAACUGCUGUGCUGGUCCACACAGACACAGCCUCCAACCAAGCCUGGCUCCUACCCAUCACAGUUCUGUAGGCUGCCCAUUUGCAGAAGGCCUUCCAUCUGACACUCCUCCUCGCCUGCUUGUUCUCCAGCCAUGUUGUGGCCAAUUUGCCAUGAGGAGGUUGCAGUGGCCAAGACUGUUGGAAACUGUGCGGUGUAGCUGGGAGAGAAAGGACACACUCUAAAUGUUCUUACUGCCUGUGACGAUGCAGCUACAGCGAUGUACUAGCUGCUCACAAGCCUGUUCCUUCUUCCAUUGUAGGGCAUGAAGAAUUCCCUUAUCACUGGGUAAGAAGGGGGAACAGAAGUUUUUCUCAUGCCUAAUUUUGCGUUUUCAGUAAGGUCUUUUUCAGCUUGUCCAGGAGAAACUGGAAAAAAAAAGAUACUUGAAAUAAACUGAAGGACAUUUAAACAAAGAAACACUUGAAAUAAAUUGAAAAGAAUUUUUUUUUUCUUUUUUAACAUUAACAUAUUUUGCAGGAAGAAAAAAUAUAAAGGACACUAGGGGCAAAUAAAUUUCUGUGUUUACAAUAGCAAAG